rnacentral:rRNA from 1 species
CAGCCGCCACGGGAAUACGGAGGGUGCGAGCGUUAAUCGGAAUAACUGGGCGUAAAGGGCACGCAGGCGGUGACUUAAGUGAGGUGUGAAAGCCCCGGGCUUAACCUGGGAAUUGCAUUUCAUACUGGGUCGCUAGAGUAUUUUAGGGAGGGGUAGAAUUCCACGUGUAGCGGUGAAAUGCGUAGAGAUGUGGAGGAAUACCGAAGGCGAAGGCAGCCCCUUGGGAAUGUACUGACGCUCAUGUGCGAAAGCGUGGGGAGCAAACAGGAUUAGAUACCCCGGUAGUCCCUGUCUCUUAUAC